rnacentral:misc_RNA from 1 species
CCGCCCGAAGAAUAACAUUCAACCCUCACUACUUCCACUCUGAGGCUGAACUGUCCUCUCACCUCUCUUCCCUCCCCAAUCCCAUCCCAACCAUCUUCACAGACGGCAGCAAACUCGAUGACGGCUCGGUCGGUGCCGCCUUCGUAUGUUACAACGGAGCGGGUCCGCCGGCCGUCAAGAAGUUCAUACUUCAUCGAAGUUGUUCAGUCUUUCAGGCUGAACUCUUCGCUAUCCUCCAGGCCUCUCGAUGGGCCUCCAAGCACAGACACACACACACACUCAUCUUGUCGGACUCCAGAGCGGCCAUCCAAGCCUCCCAGAAUCGUAGCAAUACACACCCCUUGGUUGCACACCUUCACGCCACACUACACGAUCACUCACCCACCGGCUGUAUCGACUUUGCUUGGGUCAAAGCCCAUGCAGGUAUAACCGGGAACGAACGUGCAGACACCGAAGCAAAACUCGCCGCUACCAUGCACAGAGCCUUCGACUACGAUCUCUUCCCCAUAAGCUUUGUUAAGCUUAUGGCCAGAGAGCGUAGUCUCACCGAAUGGCGCGAGAGGUACGAGAAGGCACAACAGGGCCAACACACCCGCGACCUCCUCCCCACAUUAGACCACAUAUACACACUACUCAAAUCCACACACAUCACAUUCACACUCACUCAGACACUCACCGGACACGCCUUUAAUAAAACAUAUC